UACGUAGGGGGCAAGCGUUGUCCGGAAUCAUUGGGCGUAAAGCGAGCGUAGGCGGCCCGAUAAGUCUGCUGUAAAAGUCAACGGCUCAACCGUUGAAAGCCGGUGGAUACUGUCGGGCUCGAGUGCGGAAGAGGCGAGUGGAAUUCCUGGUGUAGCGGUGAAAUGCGCAGAUAUCAGGAGGAACACCGAUUGCGAAGGCAGCUCGCUGGGACGUUACUGACGCUGAGACGCGAAAGCGUGGGGAGCGAACCGG
rnacentral:rRNA from 1 species